CCAAUAGCGUAUAUUAAAGUUGUUGCAGUUAAAAAGCUCGUAGUUGAACUUCGGGGUUUACCCAUUGGUCAGGCUUAAUUGUCUGCACUGGUGAGAUGAAUCUCUACCUUCUGAGGAACUUUCAUGCCAUUUAUUUGGUGUGAUGGGAAAUCAGGACUGUUACUUUGAAAAAAUUAGAGUGUUUAAAGCAGGCUAACGUCUGAAUACAUUAGCAUGGAAUAAUGAAAUAGGACGGACUGAUUCUAUUUCGUUGGUUUCUAGGAUCACCGUAAUGAUUAAUAGGGAUAGUUGGGGGCAUUAGUAUUCAAUUGUCAGAGGUGAAAUUCUUGGAUUUAUUGAAGACUAACUACUGCGAAAGCAUUUGCCAAGGAUGUUUUCAUUAAUCAAGAACGAAAGUUAGGGGAUCGAAGACGAUCAGAUACCGUCGUAGUCUUAACCAUAAACUAUGCCGACUAGGGAUCGGACGAAGUUAAUUUUAUAAUGACGCGUUCGGCGCCUUACG
rnacentral:rRNA from 1 species